UUUCCCUAAACCAAGGGUGUUUAUUGCAUCAUAAAGCGUCCUAGCAGGGUCUCAUCACAAUGGCAAACUAAACCCUGAAUCCCCAGACAGCGGGAAUGGAGACUCACACUUACUACUGUCCCCCGUGGUGCCUGGUGCAUGGCAGAGUUUGAGAACGGGAAGGGACUCUGGAGGAACUGGCCUGCCACAUAAAGUGCAGCACAGUGGUCUGGCAGGACAGGAGUGAACGGCGACCAGGAGACUUGGCAGGGUGGUGGCUGCUGGGGACGCUCCGUUGGUGAUGGAAUGAAGCUAAUGUCACCCCCACACCCACCUUUGUGUGUCCUUGUGAGCUCGCUAUCUCGAAGCCUGGGUCGUUGACAAGACGCUCCCUCUGCAUGCACAUCAUGGGAACGACAGAAUCUCUGAAUUAGAAGGGUGCUCAGCAGCUACUCCGUCUAUUCCUAGAAGUCGUCCACUCCAAGCUCAUCUCACCAGGUCACAGUCGCAUGUAGGAGGUGCGCCAGUUCCUACUGAUUUGGCAGCCUUCUACAGGGACCCCAGUCAUGUUGGAUUAAGGACCUCCCGACUCCAGCAUCUCUGGCCACUGAAAAAGAACAUGAAGUCUUCCAGAUGCCCUCCGCCUCUCUCACCUGGACCGCUGUGUCUCUGCAGCUGUGUUGCUGGUGUUGCUCACCAGAAGUGCAUGAUCCCGUGUGCAUCACCUCCCAUGAGCCCUCUGUGCCUCAGUUACUGCACCUAUAAAAUGCGGAUGAUGUUAGGACCCAUGGUACCUGCAUCAUGGGGUUGUAGGGACAAGCACAUAAAUGAAUGCAUGGAAAGUACUUAGAAGAGCCACUAAUGUAGUAAGCUCUAAAUAGAUGUUAAUUACCAAUAUUAGCCUUA